ACGUACCAUUUGCUACGGAAUAACUCAGGGAAACUUGUGCUAAUACCGUAUGUGCCCGAAAGGGGAAAGAUUUAUCGGCAAAUGAUCGGCCCGCGUUGGAUUAGCUAGUUGGUGGGGUAAAGGCCUACCAAGGCGACGAUCCAUAGCUGGUCUGAGAGGAUGAUCAGCCACACUGGGACUGAGACACGGCCCAGACUCCUACGGGAGGCAGCAGUGGGGAAUAUUGGACAAUGGGCGCAAGCCUGAUCCAGCCAUGCCGCGUGAGUGAUGAAGGCCCUAGGGUUGUAAAGCUCUUUCACCGGUGAAGAUAAUGACGGUAACCGGAGAAGAAGCCCCGGCUAACUUCGUGCCAGCAGCCGCGGUAAUACGAAGGGGGCUAGCGUUGUUCGGAUUUACUGGGCGUAAAGCGCACGUAGGCGG
rnacentral:rRNA from 1 species